AUGAAUAUUUUCUUGCUUUCAGUCCUUUUAACCAGGUUACCAAAUGUAUUAACUUCAAGGGUCGACCAAACACCGAGAUCAGCAACAAAAACGUCGGGCGAAACUUUAACCAUCAACUGCGUCCUAAGAGAUGCUAACUACGGAUUGUACAACACAGACUGGUAUUGGACAAAAUUGGGCUCAACAAACGAGGAGAGAAUAUCAAUUCGUGAACGAUAUGUUGAAUCAGUGAACGAGGGAUUAUCAUCCUUUUCUCUGAAAAUUAGUGAUCUGAGAGUUGAGGACAGUGGCACGUAUACCUGUGGGGCAUGUGACGAUCACAGACUAAAGCCUACUGCACCAGUCAUCAGUCUAUUUUAUUCUGCAACUGAAGAACAGAGAGCAAACGGAUUUGUACAUCUGAUUUGUAUAAUCAGCAGAUACUAUCCAAAAAACAUUGUGAUCAGUUGGCAGAAGAACAAAAAUGUCAUCAGUUCUGGUUUUACAACUACAUCACCAAUGAAAACGUCGACCAAUGACUUCAGCUCUACAAGCUUACUUAAAGUAUCUCAGCAGGAAUGGAGCAGCGGCUCUAUGUACAGCUGUCAUGUUUCUCAUUCUGCAACGAACAGUAAUCAGAGAAAAGAGGUUAGAUCAACAUCCGAGAUUGCUGUGCUGCUAAGGAAUCCAUUAGUUGAAGAAAUCUGGAUCAAUAAAAGUGCCACUCUGGUUUGUGAAGUGCUCUCUACAGUUUCUGCUGGGGUAGUCGUCUCUUGGAUGGUGGAUGGGAAGGUAAGGAAUUAUGGUGUGAAAAUCGAAGCAGCUAAAAUAGAAGGAAACCAAUAUCUGACCAUCAGCCGCUUGACCAGCAGCGUGGAAGAGUGGCAGAGUGGGACGGAAUACAUAUGCUCCGCAAAACAGAAUCAGUCAUCGACCCCAGUAUCAAAACGAACAGGAAAACAAAGAGUCGUACCAAUUAAGCCAAAUCUCCACAUCUUUCCCCCGUCACCAGAAGAGAUUCAAAACACCAGCUCUGCCACUCUAACAUGUUUGAUAAGAGGAUUCUAUCCUGACAGUAUAAGUAUUUCCUGGGAGAAAGACGGAGCUUCUUUGAGAGCAAACAUCACCAAUUUUCCCACUGCUCUGGAACAGGACCUGACUUUCAGUGCAAGGAGCCUUCUCAUUUUAUCUGCAGUAGAAUGGAACAGUGGAGCAAAAUACACCUGCACUGUCUCGCAUCCACCUUCCCAAUCCAUUGUGAAAAGGGUUAUCAGGAACCCGAAUGAUGAAUGCAGAUUUCCAGACAUUUCUGUCAAUCUACUGAAACCUUCAUUUGAAGAGAUUUGGAAAGAAAUGACAGCGACCAUUGCAUGCAAAGUAGUUUAUAGUGACUUAGAAAAUAUCAACGUUUUCUGGCAAGUGAACGGGACUGAGAGAGUGGAAGGAGUCGAGACGCAAAAUCCCGAGUGGAUUGGAAGUAAAUCCACCAUUGUGAGCAAACUUAAAAUAAUGGCAUCAGAGUGGGACAAUGGUGCUGAAUAUGUUUGCUUGGUAGAAGACAGUAAAUUACCAACACCAGUGAAAGCCUCUAUCAAGAAGACAAUUGUCAGUGAAUUCCGUCCUCCUAAGGUUUAUCUCCUGCAUCCGUCGACGGAGGAGAUUGAUACUGAGAAUUCGGCUACCCUGUUGUGUCUCGCCACCGGCUUUUACCCAGAUGAGAUUUACAUUGGUUGGAUGGCUAAUGACACCCUUCUGGAUUCCAGCUACUGGACCCAAUCAGAAAGCGAGAAGGGGAAUGGUUCCAGCUUCGUUACCAGCGGAUUGAGACUUACUGCAGCGGAAUGGAACAGUGACACCACUUACUCCUGCUUAGUGGGCCACCCAUCCCUCAGCCGGGAUUUAAUCAGAAGUACAAAUAAAUCUCACGGCAUCCCCGAAAUAAUGGAAUAUCCGGAAGAAAAUGGCAAUGAAAGAAAUGAUCAAGAAAAAGUCGGUGAAGAUGCCAACAACUCAUUAGCCAUCAUCGUUUUCGUUAUCCUGUUCAUUCUCAGUAUGUUGUACAGCACAUUUGUAACUGUCCAUAAGGUCAAGCUCUGGGAGAAAUCCCUAGCCUUGGUGCAGACUGUGGCCGCUGUGUGCGCUGCCAGCCUCAGAGCAUAUUCCUGGCCUCGACAUGAAACCAAAGCUGAAUCACGGACUCAAAUGAAGCUAGCAUGGACUCCAAGCUUUGAGCUGAAAUUAGAGCGGGCAUCCAAACUGGUGAUAAAGCCAGCGUGGACUUCCAGCAUCCAGAGCAAUCAGCGCGGACUCACAGCCUCAAGAUUGAUCCAGAGCAAAUUCCUGUUCUCAAGACAAAGCCAGGGCAGAGAACCCAGCUUCAAUGAAGCCAGCGCAGACUCCAAUUUUCGAGAACCUCCAGUUGAAGCCUGGCAUAGACUGGUGCGAGUUUCAUGCCAAAAUGGACUAGUCUACUCCGGCUUCUAUUCUUGA